CCUGUAGUCCCAGCUACUCAGGAGGCUGCCAUGGGAACAUCAUUUGAGGCCCAGAGUUCCAAGCUGCAAUGAGCCAUGAUCGUGUCACUGCACUCCAGCCUGAGCAACAGAGCAAGACCCUGUCCCAGAAAAAGAGGAAAAAAAAGAAUAAAAUAGCAACCUCAGCUACUGGGCCUAAGAAGGUAGUGGGAGCCAAGGGGUGGCAGUGGGGUGGGUAGUGGCAAGCCCCAAGAAUGACUAGCAUUGACACACAAGGGCCAUUUGGUCCCAGUUGUUUUUCCCACAUCAAGAAAGCCCUUCCAGAGCUAAAUCUACUUGGAGUUUUAUUUUAUUACCAGCAGCAAAAUUCUCUGACACUAUCUCCAAGUCUCAUACCCCAGACACCUCAGUACCUGAAACCCCAGUGGACUAACAACCCCUGCCAAACACUCAGCUAGGAGCAAACAUUCUGGACUCUUUCCAGCAGUGGCAAGGGGUUCCAUGGAGCCAACCACACUCUCCCCCAGGUGAGAAAUACUCUUCCAGGCCAUUGACUGCAUCCUCACUGCACAUACUGGAUGGCUAAAAAGGGUAUGCAGUCUAUGGCCUGGAAAGAACUUCUUCAGUUUGUAUGCUCAAACAUUGACCUCAUCAGUUCAGACUCUGCUCCAAUCCACAGAGCUGGCACACCCACAUGACUCCCCUUUGUGAUGUAAAUAGCUGGAUAAUCCAGAAGGGACACCAAGCCUGGGACUCUGUUCUAGAAAUUAAUCUGCUGUCAGAGGUCAAGUGCCUUCCACUGCAUGUCAAAAGGCCACUUAAAAAAUCAGUCUAGCCCCCUUUAUCAUCUGUGUUUGUUAUCAGUGUGCUACACCAAGCAUGGUAAAUGGGAGCUCCCAGUUCCAGGGAGCCUGCUUGCAACCCUUUAAACUCAAAUAAUAAUAUAACAGCAGCUAAUCGUUUUGUUUUGUUUUGUUUUGUUUUUUUCAGAAUGUAAUGCAUGCCAAGCAUAGAUUAUCUCAGAAAAUCCACACAAUUAAUCUAUGCAUUGGGGCUUAUUUUCCUCAUUUUGAUAAGGAGACUGGGACUCAGAGAAAAAGUGAUGUGCCCAAAGUCACACAGCUGGUGAGUGUGAUGGCAAGAUUCAAGUGCAGGCUUGGCCUCUUCAGCACUAAGCCAUGCUUCAAUUGUGGCUGGUAUUGGUUAAGGUGAUUGUAGUCACUAGUACUGGACACCAACAGCUGCUGGCUAAAUAAAUAAGAAACAAUCCAGAAGGCAAGGAGAAUGUUUUAUAUUUACUAGACGAUUUCUAGAAGAACUAUCAGAAUGCAAUAAAAAGCUGCACCCCAGGUGAAAAGGAAGCAGGGCAGUGAGGCCUGAGCAGCAGGAUUUGUGGACUUUCCAGGGCACCUGGUGCCAACUUAUGGCUUCAGUGAAUCAAAGUUACAAAACUCCUGGGGAAAAAAAGACUAUUCCAGCUUGAUUUGGUGUACUCCCAAGGUCAGUGAGCUUGGCCAGCAGGUCAUGGGCACGAGCGGAGACAAAGAUUGUCAGGCCUCUGAGCCCAAGCCAAGCCAUCACAUCCCCUGUGACUUGCACGUAUACAUCCAGAUGGCCUGAAGUAACUGAAGAUCCACAAAAGAAGUAAAAAUAGCCUUAACUGAUGACACUCCACCAAUGUGAUUUGUUCCUGCCCCACCCUAACUGAUUAAUGUACUUUGUAAUCUCCCCCACCCUUGAGAAUGUACUGAGAUCCACCCCUGCCUGCACAACAUUGCUCUUAACUUCACCACCUAUCCCAAAACCUAUAAGAACUAAUGAUAAUCCACCACCCUUUGCUAACUCUCUUUUCGGACUCGGCCCACCUGCA
rnacentral:lncRNA from 10 species